UUGGGGAGGGCAGGCUGGCGGGACAGCCAGCCUGGCAGGGCGCGCGUUCUUUGGGAGCCAGCUCGGCUGCCUGUCUCCGGGCCCGGGUUCGUUGUAGCGGUUGCAAUAAUGCAAGUUUCCUGUGGGGCUCUUGACUUCUCAGAGUUGAAGGCGGCGAUUCGGGACGCGAGUUGCUCUUGGAGAGAGUUGAGAAAUACGGAUCGCUGUUCGUUCGCCCUCUUCCCCGUUUCAACACGCGGGCUGACACCUCGCCGCCCCGACGCUGGGCCCUUUGGCUAAACUAGGAUGGAAGGAAGGGGGCCUGUGGCAGAUCCCGGGAAACAGUUGGCCGUGCUUUUUAAACAGCUUUCUGCGUAGGAAAAGCUCAGUGACCCUCAGCCUUUUACUAGGUGCCCUUACCUUAAGAUCAGGUGCCCUCGCCAUAAUUAAGAUGAGGGGUAUGCUGGGGUUUCCGUCAGAGAACUACAAUUUAAACUGAAGCUGUUGAUGGCACUCCGGAUAAGUGCCAGGCUCCGGGAAGGUGAAAAGGACUGGCCAGCCCACGGAGAGGGCUUUUGACAGCAGUUUUCUUCCCAUUAGACCUCAGGACAGCCCUGUGGAGGAAUAGACGAUUAUCAGGACAGCCCAGGUGCCCCCACCUUUAUGUUUGGCUGCAGCUGUUUAGAUCUGACCAGCACCCAGUCGUGCCCCAUGAGUGCUCAGGAAAAUGAAAGGGGCAGCCUUAGCAAUUCCAACGCCAGUCACUUCCAGGUGCAAAACUGAGUCCCGAGGAGUUAUGUCCAAGGUCUUAGGCAUAACCUACAUCUCCAGCUCUCACUCAUCCUAAUCUCAAGCAAUUUCCCCCGAGGUUUGGUUUUUUUUUUUGUAGAAGCUCUAAGGGGGAAGUGUAGAGGGAGACUGCGCGUGUCUUUCCCAGGCAUGUCAUUUUACUUUUCUGAAACUCAAAUUCCUGAUGUGAAAAUUAAGAUAACAGCACUAACCUCAGUGACCCAGCAAUUCCAGCCCUAGGUAUAUACACUCACAAGAAUUAAAAGCAGGGACUUAAACAGAAACCUGCACAUCAACGUUCAUUGCAGCACUUUUCACACCAGCCAAAAGGCAGAAGCAGCUAAAGGCCCAUCAACAGAUGACUGGAUAAACAAAAUGUGGCGCAUCCAUGCAGUGGGGUAUUAAGCAGCCAUAAAGAGAAAUGAAGUCCAGAUUCACUACAGCAUGGACGAGCCUUGAGAAUAUUACGCUGAGUGGAAUUUACAGAAGAGCUGUAAAAUAGUACACAGAGUGAGAGUUCCCGUAUACGCCUCACCCAGCUUCCCCUGAGGCUAGCUGCCAUCCAGUCGGCUCUGACUCAUGGCAACCUUACAUAUAAUGGAACGAAAUGUUGCCUGGCCCCGCACCAUCUCCACCAUCACUGGGACCUCACAACAUGCUUUUUGGUGUUGAGAAUUUUGUCCAAAAGUCCUGAUGUACAAGCCUCUUCUUCCUCUCUUGCUGUUGUCGCUGCAUUGCCAUCCCCCUGAUGAGCUCUGGGCAGGAAGGCUGCUCCCACGUCUGUGUCUGGGCCGGGGCACUGACACCCUACCUCUCCACCACCCUCCUGGGGCUGACAGAACAAGAUGUAAACGAGGUUACCAAGCCCGCGACACACUCCAGUGAGCGCCUGUGGAGCCCUGGCUGGGGUGUCUGGCUGAGGUCACGGUGACACAGACCUGUCUGGAGUAGGUGGCUCUGUUCCCUGCUCCAUGGUGUUCCAAAGACUCUCGCCAUGCCAGAUGCCGACUGGACACUGUGGUCUCUGCUCCUUAGAAAAUAACUUUAAGUGGAUCAGAACCGUCAUCUCAAAUGGGAGCUUCUCUGCGGAAGAGCCUGGCUUGGGUGCGAGGGUGCGUCAGAGUGAGCAUGUGUGAAGAAUAACAUUUGAAUAACAUUGCCUGAAAGAGACACCGUAACCGAUGACAAAACUCUGAAAUCAGACUAUGAUUUCCAUCUGUUUACACUAAAAUGGUACUCUACUUUCAAGGCCAAAAUACUGCUAUAAACUUGGAUAUCAUGUCCCCUAAAUGUCCCAAAAGGAACCCUGAUGGUGCAGUGGUUAAGAGCUUGGCUGCUAACCAAAAGGUGUGCAGUCUGAACCCACCAGCCACUCCCACAGGAGAAAAGACCUGGCAGCCUGCUCUCGUAAAGAUCACGGCCUGGGAAACCCCAUGGAACAGUUUUACUUUGUCCUGUAGGUCGCUAUGAUUUGGAUUCGACUCCGCAGCAACAGAUGUUUUUGUUUUUUAAAUGCCCUGAGAGUGGGGAGCUGGCCCCUGUUUAGGCCUACUAUGUGUUUCUAUGCUCAGUGGAGUGUGUGGUAUGUGUGUACAGGUGAAUCCUACCCAGCAGGCGCACAGUGUGGUUUCUGGUCCAGGUGCAGUGCAGCCAGGGCCUAUGGGUGCUUUCUGUGUUCUUGUUUGCAGUUGCCACCGGCGUUAAGCAUGGUCGGCGAUGCUCUUCGUAACGGCUGCACACAGCUGCUUAGGUGUUUUGCUAAUGAGAAGGCACAACCAGGGGCUUUCAGGAGCCCAGCACCCCUUGCACCUCCUCCCCAGCUAACAACUGGCAGUGAGGACUCACGUUUGGCCACAUUAGGCCAAGCUGUGGGAGGUACUUCCAGAGAAGGGAAGGGAAUAGGCUAAAUAACCGUCACUUCCAGGCUUCUGGCUGAGGCUGUCUCUGUCCCCAGAGACCACACCACCCUCUGGGUCCAGAGGCAGAUGGACCAGGGUAUCCAGCCACACUGACAUCAGCUGCCAGUGUUUUUCUUGCCUCUACCCACUUUUCUGUUUCAGAAACAGUAGAACAUACAGCUUUGUGAAUUCCAUGGCUUACCAUUUUAAUGCCUACAAAUUCAAAGAUUAUAGAGUAAGGAUACGGAAGUAUAAGGAAAGCAGCGCCUCUUGGGGGGAAAAAGACAAAACACAAAGUCCUUUGUGCUACCAAUAUUCCUUAUACUUCACGGACCAUAUGAUCUUGUCCGGAAUCUUCUGAAAUGGUUAAGCCAAGAAUUUGAGUCGUGAAUACUUCUGCUGUGAUUUCGUCCGGGAGUGCUUCUUCAAGGCAAAUUUCUGCACCUAGACAAACAAGAUAAGAAAACCAAAUGCCUUCACAACCAUUAGCUUUCUAACUCAGACACACUUUCUAAAAACACAAGGAAAUAAUACUAAAAGAGUGAAAGGUGUUUUGUGCUAUUGUUUGGUUUUGACGCCUUACAAACCCUUGGGUAGAAAUCGGUUAAAAUCCUUCCUUCACUGAAUUGAGGCCGUUAACCAAAUCUUUGCAAACCGCGUUGGAAAGUUUUCGCUGUUGCUGUUGUCAGCUGCCAUCAAGUCGGCCCCUGGCUCACAGUGUCCCGGUGCACAAAGGAACAAAAUGCCACCCUGUCCUCCACCAUCCCCAUGAUCGGCUGCAUAUUGGACUGCUGCGAUCCAUUUGGUUUUCAAGAUUUUCAGAAGUCAAUCACCAGGCCUUUCUUCCUAGUCUGUCUCAAUCUGGAAGCUCUCCUGAAACCUGUUCAACAUCAUAGCAACAUGCAAGCCUCUGCCGAUGGACAGUGCACUGGCCGAGAACUGAACCUGGGUUUCCCACGUAGAAGUGACUAAGGAAGAAGGUGGGAGUGCUCAGGCUCCAGCCAGACGAGAGAGGAGGAGGAUCUCUAAAACCUUUACAGUUCUGACACUGUCCUUGUGCAGCCACCAUGUUUCCUUAUCCAGGUCCCUCUGGACCUAUGUCUUCUUCUGAAACAACUUCCAUAUGGUAUCCUCUGAUUGGGCCGAUAUUCACCCACCCAAACUGGAAAGAUGAAGACCAGGUCAGUGGACAAAAGGGAAAAGCAAGGCCGGAAGACACAAAGGAGGCAGUGAGCCCGGGAACAAAAGCUUUCGUCUCUCCGAUGUGACCACUGCUCCCUUGGUCUUUUCAUAACUCAUUCAUGUAGGAUUCUGUCAUGCACAUGGGAUUGAGGACAGCAUCUUGCACCCGUCAAGAGAGAGAAACGCACUUAAGUCUACAACAAAGGAGUGAGUCACGGCUACAUGCCCGGACAAAGCAGGCCACAGUACCUUUG